GAGCCGAGAUGGACUUGGCACAAACGUCUCGCGAUGCUGGCUUCUGUUUGUCACCGAAAUCGACGCCCAUGGAUCCCGCGUCGUUGGACUCGAUGAAACCUGCUCACGUACGGGGCAAACGACAAUGGAAAAUGUGAAAGACAGAAAUCAAACAAUUUUCCACCGACUCAGUCGUCGUUGGAACCUCAACCGUUUGCUGGACUACAGAUGAAAUCCUUCACAAAAUUUCCAAUUUGCUAUUGCUGUUUAUGGCCGGGAUUCGAACCUGGACCCGCAGGAUGGGAACUGAGCCCUCAUCAACCAGACAAACUGCUCUCCUUUAGGGGCAGCAGUCAUUUUAUUUCGCAUAUACCCUCGUGGGCUGUUACUCAACCCCCUCGCCCCCGCCAACCGCACUUCCUUUUUUUACUUUUCUUCUUAUACGGCUUUUCCUUUCUUAUCCCAUAUUUCGUGCCCUCUGUUUACAAUUUUUUUCAUCAUACGCUCUCACGUGUUUGCACAACUCUUUCGGUUGGGUAUCUUUCUCCUAAUGUUUUAUUAAUAUUAAAUUCGAGCUCUUUCCUCGCAUUGUAUCCAUCCACUUUUCGAGAUCACCGACCACCCCGUGCAGUAAAUUCAUCCCCCUCCCGGCCGGGAUGGAUUCACAUUUGUGCAUUAAAUUUUUCUCUCCACUCACACAUUUUGGAUCUGCUUUCUUCAAGCCCUUGCCGCUAUUAUUCUCUGCUUACAUUUCCGAAUUGAAUCCACGAAAAAUCGACUUCGACGCGAAAAGCGUUGGCUGUCGUCGGAGUAUAAAAAUGUAUUGUUUUUCUCGAA